GUUUUGUUUCAGAUUAUCAUACGUAUUUUAUAUUUUCUAUGUUGGAUUUCAAAGUUCGGAAUCAGAUGAUUGAUCUAUUUACGUACCUACAGAUAUACAGAUUUAUUCGACUUUUCUGAAAGAAUAAUUGAUGAAUGGAAAUAAGGUCGUCAUUUUUCCUUAAGCGUGGAUAGAAAGUGCUAUCAGAAAUUAAUUAGUUAAUUGAUAAAGCUCGGGACUUCAAUUGAUCAAAUUUCAUUGAUUCUAGUAUAGAUGAUGCAUGGAGUACAGGAUGGAUCGAAUAAGAAGCGAAUUGUUGAAACUAUAGAGUUUGCGCCAAAUUUUGUCCAGUCUGAAGUAGAAUAGUAACCCGCACCAUCAAACCGACGG